AUCGGGGGUGCUGACGCGCGAGCGGAGGCUGAGACGGCGAGAGCCGAACCCUUUCACCUGAUACGGGUAAUGCCGGCGUAGGGAGAUU
rnacentral:ncRNA from 1 species